rnacentral:rRNA from 1 species
CGGUAAGGUAACCUGCCUGGUAGCGGGGGAUAACUAUUGGAAACGAUAGCUAAUACCGCAUAACAGUCGACAUUGCAUGAUGUUGAUUUGAAAGGGGCAAUUGCUCCACUACCAGAUGGACCUGCGUUGUAUUAGCUAGUUGGUGAGGUAACGGCUCACCAAGGCGACGAUACAUAGCCGACCUGAGAGGGUGAUCGGCCACACUGGGACUGAGACACGGCCCAG